AUUGAACGCUGGCGGCAUGCCUUACACAUGCAAGUCGAACGGCAGCACGGGAGCUUGCUCCUGGUGGCGAGUGGCGAACGGGCGAGUAAUACAUCGGAACGUACCCAGGAGUGGGGGAUAACGUAGCGAAAGUUACGCUAAUACCGCAUAUUCUGUGAGCAGGAAAGCGGGGGAUCGCAAGACCUCGCGCUCUUGGAGCGGCCGAUGUCGGAUUAGCUAGUUGGUGAGGUAAAAGCUCACCAAGGCGACGAUCCGUAGCAGGUCUGAGAGAAUGAUCGGCCACACGGGGACUGAGACACGGCCCAGACCCCUACGGGAGGCAGCAGUGGGGAAUUUUGGACAAUGGGGGCAACCCUGAUCCAGCCAUGCCGCGUGAGUGAAGAAGGCCUUCGGGUUGUAAAGCUCUUUCGGCGGGGAAGAAAUGGCAACGGCUAAUAUCCGUUGUUGAUGACGGUACCCGCAUAAGAAGCACCGGCUAACUACGUGCCAGCAGCCGCCGUAAAAC
rnacentral:rRNA from 1 species